GGGCAGCAGUGGGGAAUUUUGGACAAUGGGCGAAAGCCUGAUCCAGCCAUUCCGCGUGAGUGAAGAAGGCCUUCGGGUUGUAAAGCUCUUUCGCAAGGGAAGAAAACUUACAUUCUAAUAAAGUGUGAGGCUGACGGUACCUUGAUAAGAAGCACCGGCUAACUACGUGCCAGCAGCCGCGGUAAUACGUAGGGUGCGAGCGUUAAUCGGAAUUACUGGGCGUAAAGCGUGCGCAGGCGGUUUGGCAAGUCAGAUGUGAAAUCCCCGAGCUCAACUUGGGAACUGCGUUUGAAACUGCCAGACUAGAAUAUGUCAGAGGGGGGUAGAAUUCCACGUGUAGCAGUGAAAUGCGUAGAGAUGUGGAGGAAUACCAAUGGCGAAGGCAGCCCCCUGGGAUAAUAUUGACGCUCAUGCACGAAAGCGUGGGGAGCAAACAGGAUUAGAUACCCUUGUAGUC
rnacentral:rRNA from 1 species